AUGAACGCUGGCGGCGUGCCUAAUACAUGCAAGUCGAACGCGAGCAGCAAUGCUCGAGUGGCGAACGGGUGAGUAAUACAUAAGUAACCUGCCCUAGACAGGGGGAUAACUGCUGGAAACGGCAGCUAAGACCGCAUAGGUAUGGACACUGCAUGGUGACCAUAUUAAAAGUGCCAAGGCACUGGUAGAGGAUGGACUUAUGGCGCAUUAGCUGGUUGGUGAGGUAACGGCUCACCAAGGCGACGAUGCGUAGCCGACCUGAGAGGGUGACCGGCCACACUGGGACUGAGACACGGCCCAGACUCCUACGGGAGGCAGCAGUAGGGAAUUUUCGGCAAUGGGGGGAACCCUGACCGAGCAACGCCGCGUGAAGGAAGAAGGAAUUCGUUCUGUAAACUUCUGUUAUAAAGGAAGAACGGCGGAUAUAGGGAAUGAUAUCCGAGUGACGGUACUUUAUGAGAAAGCCACGGCUAACUACGUGCCAGCAGCCGCGGUAAUACGUAGGUGGCGAGCGUUAUCCGGAAUUAUUGGGCGUAAAGAGGGAGCAGGCGGCGGCAGAGGUCUGUGGUGAAAGACUGAAGCUUAACUUCAGUAAGCCAUAGAAACCGGGCUGCUAGAGUGCAGGAGAGGAUCGUGGAAUUCCAUGUGUAGCGGUGAAAUGCGUAGAUAUAUGGAGGAACACCAGUGGCGAAGGCGACGGUCUGGCCUGUAACUGACGCUCAUUCCCGAAAGCGUGGGGAGCAAAUAGGAUUAGAUACCCUAGUAGUCCACGCCGUAAACGAUGAGUACUAAGUGUUGGGAGUCAAAUUUCAGUGCUGCAGUUAACGCAAUAAGUACUCCGCCUGAGUAGUACGUUCGCAAGAAUGAAACUCAAAGGAAUUGACGGGGGCCCGCACAAGCGGUGGAGCAUGUGGUUUAAUUCGAAGCAACGCGAAGAACCUUACCAGGUCUUGACAUCCUACUAACGAGAUAGAGAUAUGUUAGGUGCCCUUCGGGGAAAGUAGAGACAGGUGGUGCAUGGUUGUCGUCAGCUCGUGUCGUGAGAUGUUGGGUUAAGUCCCGCAACGAGCGCAACCCUUGUCGCUAGUUACCAUCAUUAAGUUGGGGACUCUAGCGAGACUGCCAGUGACAAGCUGGAGGAAGGCGGGGAUGACGUCAAAUCAUCAUGCCCCUUAUGACCUGGGCUACACACGUGCUACAAUGGAUGGAGCAGAGGGAAGCGAAGCCGCGAGGUGAAGCAAAACCCAUAAAACCAUUCUCAGUUCGGAUUGUAGUCUGCAACUCGACUACAUGAAGUUGGAAUCGCUAGUAAUCGCGAAUCAGCAUGUCGCGGUGAAUACGUUCUCGGGCCUUGUACACACCGCCCGUCACACCAUGAGAGUUGAUAACACCCGAAGCCGGUGGCCUAACCGCAAGGAGGGAGCUGUCUAAGGUGGGAUUGAUGAUUGGGGUG
rnacentral:rRNA from 1 species